rnacentral:rRNA from 1 species
UAGUAAAGUGGCGCACGGGUGAGUAACGCGUGGGUAAUCUACCUUCGAAUCUGGGAUAACAUUGCGAAAGCGAUGCUAAUACCGGAUGACAUCUAAUGAACUUCGGUUUAUAAGAUCAAAGGUGGCCUCUACAUGUAAGCUACUGUUUGAAGAUGAGCCCGCGUCCCAUUAGCUUGUUGGUAGGGUAAAGGCCUACCAAGGCGACGAUGGGUAGCUGGUCUGAGAGGAUGAUCAGCCACACUGGAACUGACACACGGUCCAGACUCCUACGGGAGGCAGCAGUGAGGAAUUUUGCGCAAUGGGGGAGACCCUGACGCAGCAACGCCGCGUGAGUGAUGAAGGCUUUCGGGUCGUAAAGCUCUGUCAAGUGGGAAGAAACUGUGAGGUGUCAAUAUCAUCUUGCACUGACGGUACCACUGAAGGAAGCACCGGCUAACUCCGUGCCAGCAGCCGCGGUAAUACGGGGGGUGCAAGCGUUAUUCGGAAUUAUUGGGCGUAAAGAGCGCGUAGGCGGCCAGUUAAGUCAGAUGUGAAAGCCCGUGGCUUAACCCCGGAAGUGCAUUUGAAACUAAUUGGCUUGAGUAUGGGAGAGGGAAGUGGAA